rnacentral:rRNA from 1 species
UACGUAGGGCGCAAGCGUUGUCCGGAAUUAUUGGGCGUAAAGAGCUCGUAGGCGGUCUGUCGCGUCGGAUGUGAAAGCCCGGGGCUUAACCCCGGGUCUGCAUUCGAUACGGGCAGACUAGAGUGUGGUAGGGGAGAUCGGAAUUCCUGGUGUAGCGGUGAAAAUGCGCAGAUAUCAGGAGGAACACCGGUGGCGAAGGCGGAUCUCUGGGCCAUUACUGACGUGAGGAGCGAAAGCGUGGGGAGCGAACAGG